UUGCUAUUUCUUGGGCCGCUGCCUCGGCAUAUGGAGGUUCCCAGGCUAGGGGUUGAAUCAGCUGCCAGCCUACGCCAGAGCCAUAGCAACGUGGGAUCCGAGCCGCGUCUGCAACCUACACCACAGCUCACGGCAACGCCGGAUCGUUAACCCACUGAGCAAGGGCAGGGACCGAACCCGCAACCUCAUGGUUCCUAGUCGGAUUCGUUAACCACUGCGCCACGACGGGAACUCCUCUAUUACCUUCUUAAGCAAAGACACAGAACCUCUUUGUUUUUGUUUGUUUGUUUGUGUCUUUUCAGGGCCGCACCCUCGGCAUAUAGAGGGUUCCCAGGCUAGGGGUCUAAUUGGAGCUGUAGCUGCUGGCCUACACCACAGCCACAGCAGUGCAGGAUCUGAGCUGUGUCUGUGACCUACACCACAGCUCAUGGCAACGCCGGAUCCUUAACCCACUGAGUGAGGCCAGGCAUCAAACCCACAACCUCAUGGUUCCUAGUUGGAUUUGUUUCCACCGUGCCACAAACUCCGGAACCUCUAUUCUAAUUUCACUACCUUAGUGCUCAGUUUAAAAACAAACCAACAGGUGUUCCUGCUGUGACACAGCAGGUUAAGGAUCUGGCAUUGCCUCUGAGGCAGUGCAGUGGGUUAAGGAUCCAGUGUUGUUGCAGCUGUGGCACAGGUCACAGCUGUGGCUCAGAUUUGAUCCCUGGUCAGAGAACUUCCAUAGGCCACAGGCAUGGCCAAUAAAGGGAAAAGAGAAAAAGAAAUAAACCCACAAAAAAAUCGCAUAAACUGGUUUAUACAUGCCUCCAGAUGCCUUUUCUGAAGCCACAAGCCAACAGCCUUCAACAAUCUGACACUGCAACUUUCCUGGACCACCUCCCUAGCAAAAAUAUCCAGGGGCUUUGGCCAGCCCUGGGCCAGAGAGAUCACUCUUCUCCACCACACUGUUCAUGUAAAGAAGCUGAAAGGAUGACACCAGCUGACCAAAUACUCCUCUGGAGAGUGAAGCGGCCAGCCCAAGGUCAAACAUCUUCAAGUGAAAGAACUGGGACAAAACCUUUAAUAGUCCCCAAUUAGUGCCUCUUUCUAUACAUCACUGUAGGAAGUCUACAUGCUUGGGGUGGGAUUAAGGUUACCCGGGAUCAAAAAACUGGCUGAGAAGACAACAUAAUUUGAACGUGGACACUGGCUGCCUCUGGCAGAGGCCACAGAAGACCUGACUCCUGUCCACAAGCCAGCCUGGUCUCCUACUUGGCCUCGUGACCUCCAGCAAGUGCUCAUUGCUGCUGUCAUUCAGAACUACCAUCCCAAAGGAGCCCCAUUACUCAGCCUCUGUGCCACUGUACAUGCAGUUCCCUCUGCUGCCACGCUCCCUGCCCAUGGCCUGCUUCCCUUCCACCUUCACACACAGCUCGAAUGACACGUCUUUCUGGAGCUGACUCCUCCCGGCUCCCGGAGCACUCUGAAUUCCCUCAGACCCUCGCCCGUCCUGGCUGAUUCUGCAGGACCUAAGGGGGCGUGGAGAGGCACACCUGUGAUGUGACUCGCCUCCUCGUACCUGACACCUGGAGCAGCACACGUCUACGGACUAAAUGAAGGAAUGUGCUGCUGCCCAGGAGCGGCGAAGCCAGGCUUGCGGGGUAGAGAACGUCGGACACCUCACGUGCAAACCAUCCCCUUCAUGGUCAGCACCAUCCGGGGAUUCCACUCCCAGCCCGGACCCUGGAGGAGCAGGC
ensembl:lncRNA